GACGAACGCUGGCGGCGUGCUUAACACAUGCAAGUCGAACGGAAAGGCCCUGCUUUUGUGGGGUGCUCGAGUGGCGAACGGGUGAGUAACACGUGAGUAACCUGCCCUUUACUUUGGUAUAACUUCAGGAAACUGGGGCUAAUACCUGAUAGGAGCUCCUGCUGCAUGGUGGGGGUUGGAAAGUUUCGGCGGUUGGGGAUGGACUCGCCACUUAUCAGCUUGUUGGUGGGGUAGUGGCUUACCAAGGCUUUGACGGGUAGCCGGCAUGCGAGGGUGACCGGCGACAUUGGGACUGAGAUACGGCACAGACUCCUACGGGAGGCAGCAGUGGGGAAUAUUGCACAAUGGGCGGAAGCCUGAUGCAGCAACGCAGCGUGCGGGAUGACGGCCUUCGGGUUGUAAACCGCUUCCGCCUGUGACGAAGCGUGAGUGACGGUAAUGGGUAAAGAAGCACCGGCUAACUACGUG
rnacentral:rRNA from 1 species